rnacentral:piRNA from 1 species
UACUCAUGAUUUCAUUUUGGGGUCCUGGAC